UGAGGAACAUGACCUUCGGCGGGGAUAGCCGGCCCAACGGCCGGGUAAUACCGCGUACGACCACAUGGGGACAUCCCUAAGUGGUGAAAGCAGCAAUGCGCCGAUAGAGUGCCUCGCGGCCUAUCAGCUAGUUGGUGAGGUAACGGCUCACCAAGGCAACGACGGGUANCUAGUCUGAGAGGGUGACCGGCCACACGUGGGACUGAGACACGGCCCAGCUCC
rnacentral:rRNA from 1 species